rnacentral:lncRNA from 1 species
AGGUGUAAGUAUAAUAAAAUAACAACGCAAAGAGUUUCAAAUGGUUUAGUUUUUGACUAUCCUUCCUCCUGAGUAUGCUCCUAUCCGCAAUUAGAUUUUUGGUGGUAACUCCUUGUCUUCCUUAUAUUCUAUUUUUUUCUCGUCUUCAGCGACUUUCUGCUCCACUUUCAAAAUCUAAAACUACUUCUGUUGAGUCUUUUGCUGAUAGUCAUGGUUGCAAUUCUUCAUCCGACUGUGAUCGUGGAUGUGGCCAAGGGAGAAACCAUGGUUGUGGAACUAGUUCCAACAGAUAAAAAUGUACUUACGUGGUUGCACUAAUCAUGUGAAGGAGAAGUGUUGGGAGAAGCAUGGUAAGCUCGAUUAGGCUAACCAAGUUAUUGCUCC